rnacentral:tRNA from 81 species
CGGAGUGUGGCGCAGUUUGGUAGCGCAUCUGGUUUGGGACCAGAGGGUCGUAGGUUCGAAUCCUAUCACUCCGACCA